GUGAAAGUUUCCAAGGGCGCAUGGUGGAUGCCUUGGC
rnacentral:rRNA from 1 species